rnacentral:rRNA from 1 species
UACGUAGGGUGCAAGCGUUAAUCGGAAUUACUGGGCGUAAAGCGUGCGCAGGCGGUUGUGCAAGACCGAUGUGAAAUCCCCGGGCUCAACCUGGGAACUGCAUUUGUGACUGCAUGGCUUGAGUGCGGCAGAGGGGGAUGGAAUUCCGCGUGUAGCAGUGAAAUGCGUAGAUAUGCGGAGGAACACCGAUGGCGAAGGCAAUCCCCUGGGCCUGCACUGACGCUCAUGCACGAAAGCGUGGGGAGCAAACAGG